AACGAACGCCGGCGGCAGGCUUAACACAUGCAAGUCGAGCGCCCCGCAAGGGGAGCGGCAGACGGGUGAGUAACGCGUGGGAAUCUACCCAUCUCUACGGAAUAACGCAUGGAAACGUGUGCUAAUACCGUAUACGUCCUUCGGGAGAAAGAUUUAUCGGAGAUGGAUGAGCCCGCGUUGGCUUAGCUAGUUGGUGGGGUACAGGCCUACCAAGGCGACGAUCCAUAGCUGGUUUGAGAGGAUGAUCAGCCACACUGGGACUGAGACACGGCCCAGACUCCUACGGGAGGCAGCAGUGGGGAAUAUUGGACAAUGGGCGCAAGCCUGAUCCAGCCAUGCCGCGUGAGUGAUGAAGGCCCUAGGGUUGUAAAGCUCUUUCACCGGUGAAGAUAAUGACGGUAACCGGAGAAGAAGCCCCGGCUAACUUCGUGCCAGCCGCCGCAGUAACAC
rnacentral:rRNA from 1 species